rnacentral:lncRNA from 1 species
UCUCGCCACAUAUAAUUCUAGUAUCUUUCUUUUUUUCUUUUUUUUUCUAGUUUUUAUACUAUGAGGAAGUAGCAAGUAACGCUUUCGCCAAUUUAGAAAAUUUGGAAAAAAAAGAAGAGAAGAAGAUAUUUGGAACUCAUGUGGUCGAGACUUACGUAAGUCUCGCCAAAUGUGAUUCAAGCAUCUUUCUUCUCUUCUUUUUUUUAGUAUUUUUAAUAUUUUCGUCGUAAUAUCGUCGUUAGUUUACGACUCUUUUACGACGAUUCUGGCUUACGUGGAAUUAGCGUGCCCCGCUUUUUUAAUUUCGUCGUAAAAUCCUCGUGCCCUUACGAGGUGUUUACGACGAAAUCAUCCUACGUGGAAUUAAAGAGUGCCUCCUUCGUCAUUUACUUUACGUGGUAUUUACGUCAAUUUACCUUACGAGGUCUUUACGACGAUUCUGUCCUACGUGGAAUAAACGACGAUUUCGUCGUACAUUCGACGUCAAAUUACGAGGAAUUAACGAGCAGUACGUUUAAAUCCCUAAAAUCCGAAACCCCAAACCCCAAAACCCCAUAUUCCUUAUCUUCUACUUCAUAUAUUCCAAACCCCAUG